rnacentral:rRNA from 1 species
CAAUAGCGUAUAUUAAAGUUGUUGCGGUUAAAAAGCUCGUAGUUGGAUUUCUGCUGAGAACGACCGGUCCGCCCUUUGGGUGUGUAUCUGGCUCUUUCUUGGCAUCUUCUUGGUGAACGUUGCUGCACUUGACUGUGUGGAGCGCUACCCAGGACUCUUACUUUGAGGAAAUUAGAGUGUUUCAAGCAGGCAUACGCCUUGAAUACAUUAGCAUGGAAUAAUAAGAUAGGACCUCGGUUCUAUUUUGUUGGUUUCUAGAGCUGAGGUAAUGAUUAAUAGGGAUAGUUGGGGGCAUUCGUAUUUAACUGUCAGAGGUGAAAUUCUUGGACUUGUUAAAGACGGACUACUGCGAAAGCAUUUGCCAAGGAUGUUUUCAUUGA